ACGCACCCGGUGGUGCGCCCGGGCUUCAAACCCGGUUGAGGGUGUCAGCCACUCUCGGGUGGGUUCGACUCCCGCUGCUUU
rnacentral:tRNA from 1 species